UACGUAGGGUGCGAGCGUUGUCCGGAAUUAUUGGGCGUAAAGAGCUCGUAGGCGGUUUGUCGCGUCGGCCGUGAAAACUUGGGGCUUAACCCCAAGCCUGCGGUCGAUACGGGCAGACUUGAGUUCGGCAGGGGAGACUGGAAUUCCUGGUGUAGCGGUGAAAUGCGCAGAUAUCAGGAGGAACACCGGUGGCGAAGGCGGGUCUCUGGGCCGAUACUAACGCUGAGGAGCGAAAGCGUGGGGAGCGAACAGG
rnacentral:rRNA from 1 species